GUGUGGAAGCGCAGUAAUGUGUUGAGCUAACCUGUACUAAUUGCCCGUGAGGCUUAACCAUACAACACCAAAG
rnacentral:rRNA from 1 species